rnacentral:rRNA from 1 species
AGCAGCCGCGGUAAUUCCAGCCCCAAUAGCGUAUAUUAAAGUUGCUGCAGUUAAAAAGCUCGUAGUUGAAUUUCGGGACCAAUAUGUCGGUCGUGCCUCGGUACGCACUGGCUUAUUGGUUUCUCCCUUCUGAAGAACCAUGAUGUCAUUUAUUUGGUGUCGUGGGGAAUCAGGACUGUUACUUUGAAAAAAUUAGAGUGUUUAAAGCAGGCUCACGCUUGAAUACAUUAGCAUGGAGUAAUGAAAUAGGACGUUCGAUCCUAUUUUUGUUGGUUUUUAGGAUCAACGUAAUGAUUAAUAGGGAUAGUUGGGGGCAUUAGUAUUCAAUUGUCAGAGGUGAAAUUCUUGGAUUUAUUGAAGACUAACUACUGCGAAAGCAUUUGCCAAGGAUGUUUUCAUUAAUCAAGAACGAAGUUAAGGGGAUCGAAGACGAUCAGAUACCGUCGUAGUCUUAACCAUAAACUAUGCCGACUAGGGAUCGGAUGAUGUUAAUUAUUUAAUGACUCAUUCGGCGCCUUAA